UUGCAGCAGGUUCCUCCUUUCAUAACAUGAACAUGAAUAUUUGGCAUUUCAUCUGUAUGGUGAUUGUAUCUCAUCAAGGUAUCAGUGGUGAUGAAAUCCGAUUAGAUCAGUCUCCUGCUGUGAUGAAGAGACCUGGAGAAACAGUGAAGAUCUCCUGUAAAAUAUCUGGUUUUACGAUGACGAGCUACUACAUGCACUGGAUCAGACAGAAGCCAGGGAAAGCUCUGGAGUGGAUUGGGGAAGUUAACUCUGGCUCUGGUAGUGUUGAUUAUGCAGAUACAAUGGAAAAUCACUUUACUAUGAAUGAGGAUGUGUCUCAAAGUACACAGUAUCUUGAAGCCAAGAGUCUGAGAGAAGAGGACACUGCUGUUUAUUACUGUGCUCGACAGACACAGUGACUCCAUCUGUUGAAGCAGCUUUACAAUAACUGAGAACUAAUGAGAAAAGACCAGCUAUUGGACUAUGAAUCAUAUUGCUCUCGUUAUCAUGAUUAUGAAGUAUUAUAUAUGGUUAUAGGACCAUCAUGAUC